GGAGAGUACUUUCAAUGUCCCGAACAAAUGCAUUGAUGAAUUAAUAGAUGAACUUAAGUUUAUAUCCACAUGUGCCUCUGGUCCACUUAUAAAAGACGUGGUUUUGUCGACCUUGAGAAACCAUAAGUGUGAUCUGGAUCCAGCUGUUGUUUCACAUGGCCUGGUCUGUUCAGUGAAACUCAGAUCAAAGAAGAGUUCAAACAAAUAACCACAGUUCAUCUGGAGCAAACGUUUUUGUCCAAACUGGACAGGCACACCACCAAACUUGUGGAGAUAUUUAGGAAGAAAGGCAGGAUUGCAGGAACGAAGAUAAGACCGAUGUUGGACUCACUAAGUGAGCAACAUAUCGAAGGCCGAAGAGACAUCAUCAUCCGUUGCUUGGUUGAGUUCCUUGGAGAGUCUGUAGAGGAGCUGAUCAAAGAAU